rnacentral:rRNA from 1 species
UAGGGAAUCUUCCACAAUGGACGAAAGUCUGAUGGAGCAACGCCGCGUGAGUGAUGAAGGGUUUCGGCUCGUAAAACUCUGUUGUUGGAGAAGAACGGGUGUCAGAGUAACUGUUGACAUCGUGACGGUAUCCAACCAGAAAGCCACGGCUAACUACGUGCCAGCAGCCGCGGUAAUACGUAGGUGGCAAGCGUUGUCCGGAUUUAUUGGGCGUAAAGCGAGCGCAGGCGGUUUUUUAGGUCUGAUGUGAAAGCCUUCGGCUUAACCGGAGAAGUGCAUCGGAAACCGGGAGACUUGAGUGCAGAAGAGGACAGUGGAACUCCAUGUGUAGCGGUGAAAUGCGUAGAUAUAUGGAAGAACACCAGUGGCGAAGGCGGCUGUCUGGUCUGCAACUGACGCUGAGGCUCGAAAGCAUGGGUAGCGAACAGGAUUAGAUACCCUGGUAG